GUCAGCAGCAUCCUGCUCAUUCACCCCAGCCUACACAUCUGAUCUCCUCUGCUCUGGGAAGCUAAGCAAGCUUGGGCCUGGUCAGUACUUGGAUAGAAGAGCACCUGAGAAAAUUGGAUGCUAUAGGCU
ensembl:rRNA 5S_rRNA 5S ribosomal RNA